UACAGAGGUCCCAAGCGUUGUUCGGAUUCACUGGGCGUAAAGCGCGUUCAGGCGGUUUGGCAAGUCGGGCAUGAAAUCUCUCGGCUCAACCGGGAGAGGUUGUCCGAUACUUCCAGACUUGAGGGCAGUAGAGGGUGGUGGAAUUCCGGGUGUAGUGGUGAAAUGCGUAGAUAUCCGGAGGAACACCAGUGGCGAAAGCGGCCACCUGGACUGCACCUGACGCUGACACGCGAAAGCUAGGGGAGCGAACGGG
rnacentral:rRNA from 1 species